rnacentral:rRNA from 1 species
CUAAUACCGGAUAAUAUCUUUUUAUACAUAUAAUAAGAUUGAAAGAUGGUUCUGCUAUCACUUACAGAUGGGCCCGCGGCGCAUUAGCUAGUUGGUGAGGUAACGGCUCACCAAGGCAACGAUGCGUAGCCGACCUGAGAGGGUGAUCGGCCACACUGGGACUGAGACACGGCCCAGACUCCUACGGGAGGCAGCAGUAGGGAAUCUUCCGCAAUGGACGAAAGUCUGACGGAGCAACGCCGCGUGAGUGAUGAAGGUUUUCGGAUCGUAAAACUCUGUUGUUAGGGAAGAACAAGUAUCGGAGUAACUGCCGGUACCUUGACGGUACCUAACCAGAAAGCCACGGCUAACUACGUGCCAGCAGCCGCGGUAAUACGUAGGUGGCAAGCGUUGUCCGGAAUUAUUGGGCGUAAAGCGCGCGCAGGUGGUUCUUUAAGUCUGAUGUGAAAGCCCACGGCUCAACCGUGGAGGGUCAUUGGAAACUGGGGAACUUGAGUGCAGAAGAGGAAAGUGGAAUUCCAAGUGUAGCGGUGAAAUGCGUAGAGAUUUGGAGGAACACCAGUGGCGAAGGCGACUUUCUGGUCUGUAACUGACACUGAGGCGCGAAA